ACGGCGUGCGGAGGUUUCGUUUUCCGGUCAGCCCUGCCCGAAGGAAGCGGUGGCUCGCGCAAUGAAACGAGACCGAUGGACACCGUCCGCCUCGUCAUACGUAUACUGUGCCAACUUUGACGACUGCAGCUUCGAGGAACACAGAAAAGAUAAUUGGAAGACGCUAACAAGACAUGCCAUCCCGACACUGUUUGCAUUUCGUCCUAUGCCGAAACGCCGCAAGCCACCAAAGUGUCGCUUCCAAGACGCAGCCUCUGCUAACGCGGCGUAUUUUUAUAUUUUUCAGGAGGCUCCCAAAAGUUGAGAGCUGGCAGACCAGCUCUGGGCCGUCCGGCAAGCCGAAGAUGCCGCCCGAGUCCAAGGACUUCGAGCCGCCACCUGAGGUCACCACAACAAAAACUGCCGGACUAGUCUUUAAUAAAGUUUCUUCUUUUUUGCAC